AUUGGUUGAAGAUCACCCACGGCUUUGCCCGUGGUCAUGGGUGAGAUUCAGUGGCCAGCACCAUGGCAGCCUCUCAUCACUGCCCAGUCCAGUGCAGGGAGCUGGAAACCAGGCCCUGACAGUU